UAGAUUGGUAAGAAAGACAACAGAGGGUUCGAUUCUGGCUCAGAUUGAACGCUGGCGGGAUGUUUCACAUACGGGAACGAACUGGCAGCACGACUUCGGUCUGGUGGCGAGUGGCGAACGGUGAGUAAUGGUCGGAACGUGCCUAUAGUAGCGGGGAUAAUUACGCGAAAGUUGCAGCUAAUACUGCAUAGCUGCCCUUCGGGGGAAAGCGGGGGACCUCGGGGCCUCGCAAUUAGAGCGGCUGAUAAUUUAUCAGCUAGUUGGUGCAACGCUCACUGCUGCCGACGAUCCGAAACGCUUAUGAGGACGACCAAAAGCCAACACUGGGACUGAGACACGGCCCACACUCCCACGGGAGGCAGCAGCAGGAAUUCUUGGACAAUGGGGGAAACUCCUGAUCCAGCCAUCCUGGCAAAUGUGCGAUGAAGGCCUGGCUGUGUGCCACUUUUGGAGAGAAGAAACGGCACGGGAUAAUACCCUGUGCAACUGACGGUACCUACAAGAAUGAAUGCUGGCUAACCGAUGCGCUGCGCCGCCGCGGUAAUGUAGGUGCGGCAACUGGAAUUACUGGGCGAAAGCGGCGGGUUCGGAAAGAAAGAUGAACCCAGAGCUUAACUUUUGGAACUGGCCCACCACCGAGCUAGAGGUCAGAGGGAGCGUGAAUCGCGUAGCAGUGAAAUGCGUAGAUAUGCGGAGGAACACCGAUGGCGAAGGCAGCCUCCUGACAACACUGACGCUCAUGCACGAAAGCGUGGGGAGCAAACAGGAUUAGAUACUCCUGGUAGUCCACGCCCUAAACGAUGUCAACUAGUCGUUAGCCUUUCAGCCUGUGAAGCGGCGGAAGUUCAGUCACGUAAGCUGAUCAUCUGCGGAGUACGGGUCGCAAGAUUAAAAACCCAAAGGAAUUGACGGGGACCUGCACAAGCGGUGGAUGAUGAUUUAAAUUCGAUGCAACGCGAAAACCUUACCACUCCUUGACAUGUCUGGAAUCCCGAAGAGAUUUGGGAGUGCUCGCAAGAGAACCGAACACAGGUGCUGCGGCGGCUGUCGUCAGCUCGUGUCGUGAGAUGUUGGGUUAAGUCCUCACAACGAGCGCAACCCCGUCAUUAGUUGCUACGAAAGGGCACUCGACGAGUAUCUGCCGGUGACAAACCGGAGGAAGGUGGGAUGACGUCAAGUCCUCGGCGGUCUUUGCGGCAGGGCUUUCACAUCGUCACACAAUGGUCGCACAGAGGGUCGCCAACCCGCGAGGGGAGCCAAUCCCAGAAACCCGAUCGUAGUCCGGAUCGCAGUCUGCAACCCUGACUGCGUGGUCGGAAUCGCUAGUAAUCGUGAUCAGCAACACCGCGGUGAAUACGUUCCCGAGUCUUGUACACACCGCCCGUCACACCAUGGAGUGGGUUUUAAUUGAAGUAGUUAGCCUAACCGUAAGGAGGGCGAUUACCACGGUAGGAUUCAUGACUGGGGUGAAGUCGUAACAAGGUAG
rnacentral:rRNA from 1 species